UUGUACACAGCAUAGAGCGACGAGUCCAUAAAUCAAUUGGAAAUGUUGCAGAUGGACCUGAGGCAAGCUACUGUCUGGACAUUUAAUAAGAAAUACAGAAACUUCUGAAGGGGUCACAAACUUUUAAGCUCCCAGGGAAAUAUUAAAAAGACCCGAGAUGACACAGGUACUCGUGGUAGCCUCGCCCCCUUUCCCUCUGCUCCCAUUGUGGCUCUGUAAUGAUGAGCUUUUACAGGUUUUAAACGUCUGCUGGUUGUUUAGUCUCAUCACAUCUCUGAACAUGUUGGAGGACACAGAAGAAACUCCCCAGGUGUCUGUAGCGGCAGGAGAAGCCAGAGCAGCCGUAAUCGAGUGAUAAAGGUGCCUGUUCUUUCCAAACCCGUGGUGAUCUAAAGAAAGGUGCAAAUCAUCUGUGUGCACUGCAACGAAACGUUCCUGGUGAGACUCGUCCUUAUCUUACAGCCUCCAUUUAAAGGAUUAAUAUUGGAUUUACUAGUAACUAUGAUACAGUGCUGACUUUAACAGGGAACUUUACAGGUUCAUUCUGCAGAUUUACAAUAAGGUUCUAUUGAUUUACACAAGACUGUUUUACAGUAAAGUUUGAAAAAUGUACAGCAAAGUCAAAAGAUUUACAGUUUUUCUGUAAAUUUAAAAGAUUUACAGUAAAGUUGAAAGAUUUACACUGCAGUUCUACAUCGGCAUUCAGGGACAGGCAUUAAGCUGGUUUAAAUCCUACCUGUCCGAUCGUUACCAUUUCGUAGAUUUGAAUGGAGAGCUAUCCAGGCUAAUGCAAGUAAAUUAUGGCGUGCCGCAAG